CCUACGGGGGGCAGCAGUGGGGAAUUUUGCACAAUGGGGGCAACCCUGAUGCAGCGACGCCGCGUGGAUGAUGAAGGCUUUCGAGUUGUAAAGUUCUGUUCUUGGUGAAGAUAGUGACAAGCCAAGCAGCAAGCCCCGGCUAAAUACGUGCCAGCAGCCGCGGUAAUACGUAUGGGGCAAGCGUUGUCCGGAAUUAUUGGGCGUAAAGGGUACGUAGGCGGUUAUUCAAGUCUAUAUUAAAAGGCAUUGGCUUAACCAAUGUAAGGUAUAGAAACUGGGUAACUUGAGUAGAUGAGGGGAAAGUGGAAUUCCUAGUGUAGCGGUGAAAUGCGUAGAUAUUAGGAGGAAUACCAGUGGCGAAGGCGACUUUCUGGAAUCUAACUGACGCUGAGGUACGAAAGCGUGGGGAGCAAACAGGAUUAGAUACCCUGGUAGUC
rnacentral:rRNA from 1 species